GAUGAACGCUAGCGGCAGGCUUAACACAUGCAAGUCGAGGGGCAGCACGAUGUAGCAAUACAUUGGUGGCGACCGGCGCACGGGUGCGUAACACGUAUGGAACUUGCCCUUUACUGGGAGAUAGCCCUCCGAAAGGAGGAUUAAUAUCCCAUAAUAAAUGAGGUGGCAUCACCUUGUUUUGAAAGCUCCGGCGGUAAAGGAUGGCCAUGCGCACGAUUAGCUAGUUGGUGAGGUAAUGGCUCACCAAGGCUACGAUCGUUAGGGGGCCUGAGAGGGUUAUCCCCCACACUGGUACUGAGACACGGACCAGACUCCUACGGGAGGCAGCAGUGAGGAAUAUUGCGCAAUGGAGGCAACUCUGACGCAGCCAUGCCGCGUGCAGGAAGAAGGCGCUACGCGUUGUAAACUGCUUUUAACCGGGAAGAAACCCUCCUACGUGUAGAGGGUUGACGGUACCGGAGGAAUAAGCACCGGCUAACUUCGUGCCAGCAG
rnacentral:rRNA from 1 species